rnacentral:rRNA from 1 species
UACAGAGGUCUCAAGCGUUGUUCGGAUUCAUUGGGCGUAAAGGGUGCGUAGGCGGCGCGGUAAGUCGGGUGUGAAAUCUCGGAGCUUAACUCCGAAACUGCAUUCGAUACUGCCGUGCUUGAGGACUGGAGAGGAGACUGGAAUUUACGGUGUAGCGGUGAAAUGCGCAGAUAUCAGGAGGAACACCGGUGGCGAAGGCGGCAUCCUGGACCAAUUCUGACGCUGAGGAGCGAAAGCCAGGGGAGCAAACGGG